rnacentral:rRNA from 1 species
UACGAAGGGGGCUAGCGUUGUUCGGAAUCACUGGGCGUAAAGCGCACGUAGGCGGACUCUUAAGUCGGUGGUGAAAUCCUGGAGCUCAACUCCAGAUCUGCCUUCGAUACUGGGAGUCUCGAGUCCGGGAGAGGUGAGUGGAACUGCGAGUGUAGAGGUGAAAUUCGUAGAUAUUCGCAAGAACACCAGUGGCGAAGGCGGCUCACUGGCCCGGUACUGACGCUGAGGCGCGAAAGCGUGGGGAGCAAACAGG